UUAAAGGGGCGCCGUCCAAUUCACAGGAAGAGCUAAAGCAUAGAGUUAUAUAUUAGCAUAGAGAGAGUGUCAUUCAGAGCGAAGUGACGACACCAUCUUUUUUAUUUGGAUUAGUGCUGUUUCACUCUUACGCAUAUUAAAGCUGCUACAGUUGUCCUCCUCUUCCGUGCCUAUCUUCACACUGAAUAUCAUCAUAGAUUUUCGAUACAAUGUGUUAGAAAGAGAUGCAGCAAUCCAGUCCAUGAGAUCUUGUCGUCAGGAAGCGCGGAAGGUAGGCUCCCUCUAUGUUAAUAUAUACCUCUAUGAGCUAAAGUUCUUAUGGAAAUCCAUUGUUGCCACAUCUUCAAAUAUGAGAAGAGACGUCUAUCAAUUACUGUCAAUUGUCAUUGUCUGAUGAUCUUUGUCGUUAUGUUAUGUUUGGUUAUGUUGUUAACAACUUUUGAUAGGAUAAAGAUAUUUUAAACACAUUUUAAAAGAUAAAGAACCUUAGUAGUUAGUAGAAAGGAAAGCAAUUUUAGUUUCCAACCGUGAAAUAUUUAUCAUCUAGUGGGAAAACCGCAGUGAUUGUGCCUUCAAACGGGCAAUUUGAAAGGACAACCCCACCAAAAACCAUUAUAAUUAUAAAUUGAAAUGAUUAAAAAUGUUUGUACCUAUGUAAUUGUACAUGUAAAGCUGGAAAUUCAGGCAUACCAUGGAAAAUUUGAAAAAAAUAAGCACCACAGACAUCAAACAACAGUGGGGAUAAUUUAAAAAACAAUAAUACAACAUAGUCAACAACUACCAGUCUGCUGAUAAAUGGGCUACUGAUAUUGUACUAAAUUAUGAUUUAGCUCUAUUUUACUCAAAUAAUGUUGAAGUAAGCUACAGUAACUCUGUUGAAAUAUCUUUAGCUAUGCUAAACCAAACUGGAGAAGCAUGAAAAAAGCUGAUGUGACUGCAAGUAACUGGGACAAUUUAUUGCCAUUUAUUUACUUAUCAUAAAAAUAAAAGCCCAAGUUGGCCACUUAAAGUCAACCAAUUGUAUAAUUCCAAUUUUAAAUAAAAUACUGUACCCUUCCGUGGGAAAAAAUUAUGAAUCAGUUGCUUUAAAUAUGUAUGAAAAAAUAAGUCUAAGUAUGUAUGUAUGUAUUAUCAGUUUUAUUCCAAUUAUAUAAGUAAAAAACUUGUUUUAAAA